rnacentral:lncRNA from 1 species
AGUUAAAUGUAAACCAAACAUAAAAAACAUAAUUUGUAAAAUAUGUUUUCUUUUUCUUUGGCAGAUUUUGCUUUGUCCGAGCGAAGUUGUCGAAAUUUACCUGGGAAAAGCAAAUUCAAAAUGACACCUGAUGAUGUCGUUUUGAAAUUUGCCGCGUCCGAAAUUUAUUCGGACAGUUCGCUCAAGCGGAGCAUCUUUUUCCCUUUUUUUUUUUUCUCAAUUUUCUGUGUGUUUUAAAAUGAAAAUGGUUUUUGCCAAAAACAAAACCAAACGACAUCUCGCUGACGUCAACUUUUAAUCAAUAUUCAGCAUUAUUUGCACUAUUCAACAAACAAGGUGACUAAAUGUACUUGAACGCUAACAUGAACAUCUACUCCUUGGUAAUAGAUUGUGAAAGUGAUGUCAGAAGUAGAUAAGUUUGAUUACCGACCGACGGAUCGCGUGACAUGACAGGAGCCAACAACGUGCCCAGCAUAACACGGUGAGGAUAAAUCGGAGCAGCAUCUAAUCAUCACUGCCGCGUACAUAGUUAAUGUCCUCAUAUCUCUAUGAAUGAAAAAAGAUAAUGAUGGAAUGAUUAACUUGGUAAUAUUUAUAAAUUAAUUGCAUUAAUAAUUACUACUUUGAAAUAUGCUGGGGGUAAAAAGUUUAUCCAAUCAUGAAUGCUCAUGCACUAAGAGAUGCUCACUAAAAAUUACACGGUAGGUGUUAGUGUUGUUGUUCUCUCAUAGCAUGGAGUGCUUAAAAUUUUGUCUCCAAAGUCGGAAGAAUCACUUCUAAAUGCAUUAUUUAAGAAAAAUCUUCUUCACAUGAUGAUUGGAGGAUCUUUAACCCUAAAUCCCUAGUAUGUACACAGUAUUUUCUCCAGCAACAGAAAAAUGCACUGACACUUGCUCAUCUAGUCAAAUAUCUAUUUUCUCCAAAAGAUUUACUAAUUUUAUUCUUCAAAUAUCUAUUUACUUACCUAUACGAUAAA